rnacentral:rRNA from 1 species
GCUCGUGGAUCGAUGAAGACCGCAGCUAAAUGCGCGUCAGAAUGUGAACUGCAGGACACAUGAACACCGACAAGUUGAACGCAUAUUGCACCUCGUACAACAGUACGAGGUACACAUUUUUGAGUGCCUAUAUUUAACCACAUUCAACUAUACGUGUGUGCGCGUACCACUCCGGGUGGACAGGCGCACGGCCCCCCCCUCCGGGCAGCACGUAUGCGGAGUGACGUUUUCCCGCGCGGUUCGCCCGCCACGGUAAAACGUUGAAGAUAGUCAGGCGCGUCGCCCCGCGUGGUCGACGUGGUUGAUGAAUACAUCCCAUAGGCCGCCACCACCAUGUAUCGGCUACGUUGUGUUCCAUCAGCGUGUGCCCCCUCCCGGGGUAUACCCUAUCGAUAUCACCUCUGUAUGAUAUCAGCAUAUCAGUAGGCCUCAAAUAAUGUGUGACUACCCCCUAAAUUUAAGCA